GAGGACAUUUUAGAAAUGAUUUCGUGGUCAUGGGAGAAAGUAUGAAGCUUGGAGGAGUGGUGAAAUUGGUUCGAACAAUUUUUAUUCGAAAACUGAACGUUUUAGGGGAGGUCAAAGGAGUUGACUUUUUAUACGUUCAUAAUUGGGGAAAACUUCCUUCAUGAAAGUUGUAGAGCUCGUCGAUACGAUCUCGUGCAUAUGUGGUAUGCAAAAAUCAGAGUUCGUAUGAAUUAGUUAUGAUUUUUUUGAAAAAGUUUCCAGUUUAGUAUAAAGCUGCCAUUUUUGGAAAUUACCAAAAAUAAUUUCAGUUCCAUUUCUGGAAACCGAACUCUCUCUCUCUUGCGCGCGUCCGAGCCCAGAAAAAACAGAGCAAAGCUCUCCGGCCGAGUUCUCCCUCCUCCGGCCACCAAUCGACACCAGACCACCUCCCUUGCCUUCGCCUCGACGCCGCCUACCUGCUAGACGUGAUCACUUCCACCGGAACGGCCUCAAAUCCGGCAGUCGGAGCCGCAAACUUUGAAACAAAAAUCGGUCAACGCCGGUUUUCUCCUCGCUCCGGCCACCAAAACUCACGAUCCUUAGCUCCCUGAACUCGCCUCAACCUUCUGAUCAUCAUUCUAGAAGGAUCGCACCUGGAGUGAUCGGAUUCACGUUCGUCGGAGCUCGCCGGAUUCUGGAAAUUUUCCACCACCACCGAAGCUUUUGAUAGAAGGAAUCGAAGCCUGAAAUUGAAGUUUUGACGUCGAAAUCAAGCCUUGCCGGAUUCUGCAAAAUUCUGGAAUUUUUCCGACCACCGAAGCUUUCGAUCGGUAUAUCUCGAGCUACAGACCAUAUUUUUCUGUGAUUCUUGAACCAGUGAGUUCUUCUUGAGUUUCUUAACAACUCUUCAGAAGGAAUCGAAGCCUUAAAUUGACGUUUUUACGUCGAAUUGGAGCUCGCCGUUUUCUGCAGUUUCUCGCCGGUUUCUGGAAAAUUCCGGCCACCUUCAUACUGUUCAAGGUGAUCGACGGUUUGAUUUGGCGGACGAUUCGUGAAAUUGUAUUUUGAGCUGUUAAGAAGACGCAGCGGGAAUUUAGAGCGGGUAAUCCUACAGGUCAGGAGAACCAGGACGGUGAUCGGGCUGCUUAGAGUAGUGUUAUGUGAAUUACAGCAUUAUAUUGUGAGGUUUGUUAUGCUCAUUUAGAGCUUUACGAUUUUACUUUGUAAGAGUGAAUUGUAAUAAUUAACUCGAGGUUUUCGAGUUUUGUGUUGA